AAAUCAAGGUCACACCGCACAGUGAAUUAAAAGCUUCUAUGAAUUGCGGCCAAAGUUGUAUCAGUAUGCGAAAAAGUGGCUCUAAACAUGUUAUGAAACUCACUAGAAGUGUUGCUUUUGAUUCAGCGUGCGGUGGCACUGCAUUUUUGGUCUUUUCCAAAUGCAUGCAAGACAUGAAAAACUUCAUAAAUAUGAACAACCUAAAGCCAUUUCCUUGGUUCUAUUAAUUUAACCCAUAUGUUUAUAAUUCUUCGAUUCAUUCAAUUUUAGUUUGUUCACAAAACAUUGAAAUAGUAACAAACAUCAGGAGUAUUAAGUUGGACUCCUCUUACAAACACUAGUGC
rnacentral:lncRNA from 1 species